CCGGCCGCAAGGCCCUGACAAGACUGUGACCGCCGGAGCCCAGCCCAGUUCUGAGACCUGGCAAGCACUCGGGUCUUGGGCAUGUGGUUGUCUUUACUGACCGGCAGGGCUGGGGCCGGGACUGACGCGGAGGCGGAGGCUGGUCAGGUUGGCGAGGAGCCGCUGGAAGUGGAAGGGGGGCAGUGGAGGGGCCACGUCCUCGGAGGUCUCCUGCAGGCUGGCGAGAGAAGCGGUCAAAAAGUGACGUCCGAUGGAACACGGAGUCCGAGGGUGAACGGAGGGGAUACACACACGUGUGACCAGAGAGGCUGCCGUCUGCUCAUGUGUAGCAUUCACGAUGCCCAUGAGCACGAAAUUCCUAGGGAACACCCAGCAGCAGGAGUUUAGCGGGACCUCCAGGUGACAGCAAGGCCAUGGACCAGUACCGGUCUGCAGCCGGGGGUUGGGGACCUGUGGACUGGAGAGCCACCCAACACACUUGUGUGGAGAUGAACAGCUAUGGACACACAGCAACGUGGACACAGAUAGGUGCCGAUCCCGGCAGGUCCGCACACCUGGGUGGACCUACGUGGGCUGAACUGGAGGGCCCUGAAUGGACUGACAUGGCGACAGGCCAGCCGUCCUCUCUACCGUGAGGACAAGGACGGGGAGCUGUCAUGCGCGCGUAUCUCCCGAGUGUGGGUGGGCACGCUCUACGUGC
rnacentral:lncRNA from 10 species